rnacentral:rRNA from 1 species
CAGUAGCGUAUACUAAUGUUGCUGCAGUUAAAAAGCUCGUAGUUGGAUUUCUGGUUGAUAAUUGUGGUCCGUCUAGUCUAACUAGUAUGAGUAUCGCUUAUUAUCUGCCAUCCUAUCAGGGUUCUAGGGUCUCGGCUCUAGGGUUCUGGUUCAUUUACUUUGAAAAAAUUAGAGUGUUUAAAGCAAGCUUGCGCGAUGAAUACAUUAGCAUGGAAUAAUAAUAUAGGACUACGGGUUCUAUUUUGUUGGUUUCUAGACCUGAAGUAAUGAUUGAUAGGGAUAGUUGGGGGUGGCUAGUAUUGAGAGGCCAGAGGUGAAAUUCUUGGAUUCUCUCAAGACUAACUUAUGCGAAAGCAUUCACCAAGGAUGUCUUCUUUAAUCAAGAACGAAAGUUGGGGAGUCGAAGAUGAUCAGAUACCAU